UGUAGGUUUUAGAACUGAUAGAAAGGAACGGGGCCCCAAAACUGCAAAACCCCAGGCAGCACUCGGCUCUCCUGCGCGACUUUCUCCGCUGCUGCCUGCAGACAGAUGAGGACAGGCGCUGGUCUGCCCAGGAACUCCUGAAGCAUCCUUUUGUGACCUCAGGCGAUCCUGCCUCCAGCCUGGCUGCUCUGAUCAUCUCAGCCAAGCAAGUGCAGGAAGACUGGAGAGGAGACGCUUGCGCCUGAGGAGGCCUUGCUGCCCCGCCAGCUCAGAGGAGCGACGAGGGGAUGUACCGUGUUUAGGAGAAGAUUCGGCGGCCAUCCCCUGAGUUUUAGAAUGAGCUGUUCCGUAGUUAGGAAGUUUAUAGUUUUGAGAUUUUCUUAGCUUAGCUGGUUUCAGUUAGGACUCUAGACCCCAGAAAGCUUCAUUAAUGGAGCAUUGUUUAGCUAAGAGUAGAGUAUUGCUGAUGUAGGGGAGCUGAGAAUUAUCCUUGAGGUAGAAAUGGACGAAUCGCCAUACUGAUGAUUAAGCUAUGAAAGAAAAAGCUGGGACUCAGCAGAACUGGACCAGGCAUGAGCUGUCAGCCUGAACAGGUCACCAGGAGGACAGAAUGAUGAAGAUGAAGACGAAGACGAAGAUGAAGAUGAAGAUGAAGAAGUAGCUGGAAGACCCUUGGUUUCAGCCCUUGGUUUCAGCAGGACUGGCAAUAAAAAACUGUAAAACCUC